AGUCGAGCGGGCUUAUUCGGGCAACUGGAUAAGUUAGCGGCGAACUGGUGAGUAACACGUAGGUAAUCUGCCGUAGAGUGGGGGAUAACCCAUGGAAACAUGGACUAAUACCGCAUAUACUCUUGCUACACAAGUAGAGUAGAGGAAAGGAGCAAUCCGCUUUACGAUGAGCCUGCGGCCUAUUAGCCUGUUGGUGGGGUAACGGCCUACCAAAGCUACGAUAGGUAGCCGACCUGAGAGGGUGACCGGCCACAUUGGGACUGAGAUACGGCCCAGACUCCUACGGGAGGCAGCAGCUGAGAAUCUUCCACAAUGGACGAAAGUCUGAUGGAGCGACAUCGCGUGAGGGAUGAAGGCCUUCGGGUUGUAAACCUCGGAAAUUAUCGAAGAAUGAGUGACAGUAGAUAAUGUAAGCCUCGGCUAACUACGUGCCAGCAGCCGCGGUAAUACGUAGGAGGCAAACGUUGCUCGGAUUUACUGGGCGUAAAGGGUGAGUAGGCGGACUUAUAAGUCUAAGGUGAAAGACCGAAGCUUAACUUCGGAAACGCCUCGGAUACUGUAAGUCUUGGAUAUUGUAGGGGAUGAUGGAAUUCUCGGUGUAGCGGUGGAAUGCGCAGAUAUCGAGAGGAACACCUAUAGCGAAGGCAGUCAUCUGGGCAUUUAUCGACGCUGAAUCACGAAAGCUAGGGGAGCAAACAGGCUUAGAUACCCUGGUAGUCCUAGCCGUAAACGUUGUACACUAGGUGCUUCUAUUUAAAUAGGAGUGCCGUAGCUAACGUCUUAAGUGUACCGCCUGAGGAGUAUGCCCGCAAGGGUGAAACUCAAAGAAAUUGACGGGUCCCCGCACAAGUGGUGGAGCAUGUGGUUUAAUUCGAUGAUACGCGAAAAACCUUACCUGGGUUUGAAUUGUAAGAUUAAUGAUUUAGAGAUAAGUCAGACCGCAAGGAGAUUUUGCAUAGGUGCUGCAUGGCUGUCGUCAGCUCGUGUCGUGAGAUGUUGGGUUAAGUCCCGCAACGAGCGCAACCCUCACCCUUUGUUGCUACC
rnacentral:rRNA from 1 species